rnacentral:antisense_RNA from 1 species
CUUGAUCGAGCCGAGCCACAACGGCCGAUCCUCGGGACGGUCCUGACCGUACGUCGCCAGCAGAGCCUGCGCCUC